GCCGGGGACCCCACGUCGAUACUAGCGUGGAAGCGUCUUUGUGAUGGCUGUCAGGCAGACCUGAGCCAGUUCUGCCGCUCUACACUCCGUGGAUCGUUCAUCCUACUACUGUUUUAUGUCAUGUGACUACGUCUCUUGAACGCUUGGAUUUGGUGGAGCAAGGUGGCCAGGGUGUGGGGCCAGUGCAAGUGAUCUCAGGACUGCUUUGGGCUCCAUAGGACCAGUGAUGUGACCCAUGAACUACCCUUAACAAUUGUGAUGAAGAACCAGAAGUGCGUUGUAGGUGACGAGAUAACUAUCCCAGGUCAUCCCGGAAAGUGGCGAGGUGACCCCAUACAGCUCCACAAGGUCGUGGAGGACGCCAGACAUAGCCACGUGGUCGCCUACACUCAGCCAUCCACCUCACCUGCCCCAGACUGCUACCCGGACACCAUCCAGCCACAAGAACCCAGAUAAGCACUUCCGGGGUCCCUAGUUGUGGUUAGCUAGCUAGUUUGUUUUAGGGGUCACUUGCUGUAGAUAGGAACCCUCCUCGGUCUGCUGCUAUUUUUUUUUUUUUUUUUUUUUGAGGUGUAACGCUGUGCUCCACGUGAGAGUGAUAGUGUUUAUCUUUAUUUUUUUUAAUUUAUUUAUUUAUUUUUCUGAAGACCAGUUCUGAGGUUAUCUUGGAGGUUAACGGAAAAGAGUUCUUCACACCUGUGCUUGUUGUUUUAU